ACUGCUUUUCAGACAUAAUGCUGGCACUGCGGAACUGGAGCUAAAGGCGGCAAAACUCACUAGAAACGAGUUCAGGGAGGGAAACCUCGAGUCCAUUUUGGAGGAAAGUGCAGUUGCCCAUAUUUGGAUGUACAACUUCUGAAACCAGAGGUCCCCUCACCGGUAUCGUGUUACAUGCGAAUGUGGCCAUUGGGUUGUGGCCUCCCACUGUACUCUUUGUUUCCCAGAUGGAUGCUAUUCUCCAGAUGCCCGAGUCAGAUCUUUGUGAGGACAGAUUGUUGAACUGGAUGGAAUAAAGCAAAGAGAUCUCGUUUCCGCUUUACAAAGUACUGUUUCUGAAAGCAUCUCUUUCAACAGGCCUGCAAAUGCUUAAUAUCUGAUGUCCAAGUACCAAGGUCACAGGACUAUGAGCUUCUUGAUGAGAACUCUGGAAUGUGUGAAGUCAUCCUAAUGGGAAAAUGUUUCUGAGAAAGAACAGAAUGAUCAUUAAGAAUGGGUUUUACCAAUGUGUAUGUACAGUUUGAACAUCUGGGGCUGGGGGAAGGGGCGUAACUACCAUUAGGCAAGGAGAGGCGGCUGCCUGGGGCCCCCCACGCCUCGAGGGCCCCCCCAGAGGCAAGUCACAUGAGGCAAGUCACAUGACUAUAUAUUGUGAAGUGUGUGUGUGCAUCAGCGAGGGGCCAAUUUUAAAAUUUUGUCUCUGGGCCCACUCCAGCCUUGUUACGCCCCUGGCUGGGGGCAGUUGCUCUUAUUCAGACCAGCCUGGUAGAUAAACUCAAAUGAGCCCUCCAACCAGUGUUCCCUCUAACAGGGAUUCCCAGAUGUUGUUGACUACAACUCCAAGAAUCCCUGGCUGCAAUGGCUUUU